AAAAACAAUUGCUGAAGAAAAGAAAUUUCAGUAAUUAAUUUAUAAAAAAACGUGAUCUAUUAUUGUAUUAGCUUUUGCCUUUUGGUGAAAGUUUUCAACACACAACAUGAACAACAGCAACGACUAUCCGAUUAUUCUACAUUGAUCUUGAAUUCAAAUCUCCAAUUUUACGAAUGCUAUAAUGGAAUGUGUUGCCGGACAUUGAAACUCAGAAUGAAUCCACAGCAACAAGCAUGGUGAAUCCUGGGGAUGAUUCAAGUAAUCAUCCCCUUAUAGCUACUCAGAUUGCAAAACCUCCACACACUGCAUUGUUACAUGAUUACUCGAAUCCUAAAAUUGGUACAUAUUUUGUUGGAGUGUAUCCAACAAUUACAACACUCUUAUCAUUCAAGUUCAUAGCUCAAAAGUAUUCUCCUUUUGACACUCACAUUCCCUUUAUGAUCAUCUCCAUUGUAGCUUAUCUCAUGGCUAUUCUGGACUUAGCGAUUUUGUUUUGCCUAUACGAUACUUUAAAAAGACCAUCUAAUCAACACUUUUCCCGUGGACAUUAUAAAAUCCUAACUUAUGCUUAUUAUAUCUUGUGGAUUCUUGCAAUGGUGUUGGUUGUGCCAACAUUAUUCACUCCUCAACCAAAGGAAGAUCCAUGAUAUUGGUGUGUAGGGGGCAUAGGGAAAAAGGUUAUAAGAAGAGCCAGAUGCAUAAUAUGAUGAUUAUCAUAGAAUGCACCAGCUUUUUCAUGUUUUAUAGCAAUAGCUCAUGUAUAAGGAAAUGACAAUUUAUUCAUUCGCAUGUAUGUUGUAAGCUAAGUCCACAGUGACAUGGUAUUGAUGUGGAAACUACACUAUAGACUUAUCUAUUGGUUGGGAGAUUGUGUAACAGGUUUAUAAAACUAUAUAGUUCAUUUCAUCAUUUGAAUAAACUUGGUUUCUAAUUAA